rnacentral:rRNA from 1 species
UAGGCUGCAACUCGCCUACAUGAAGUCGGAGCUGCUAGUAAUCGCGGAUCAGAAUGCCGCGGUGAAUGCGUUCCCGGGUCUUGUACACACCGCCCGUCACACCAUGGAAGUUGGGGGCGCCCGAAGUUGGUCGAGGAAUAGAUUACCUAAGGCGAAACCGAUGACUGGGGUGAAGUCGUAACAAGGUAAC